rnacentral:rRNA from 1 species
GACAGAGGGUGCAAACGUUGUUCGGAAUUACUGGGCGUAAAGCGUGUGUAGGCGGCCAUGUAAGUCAGGUGUGAAAGCCCCGGGCUCAACCCGGGAAGUGCACUUGAUACUGCGUGGCUUGAGUACUGGAGAGGUUGGUGGAAUUCUCGGUGUAGAGGUGAAGUUCGUAGAUAUCGAGAGGAACACCGGUGGCGAAGGCGGCCAACUGGACAGAUACUGACGCUGAGACACGAAAGCGUGGGGAGCAAACAGG